rnacentral:rRNA from 1 species
AUUGAACGCUGGCGGCAUGCCUUACACAUGCAAGUCGAACGGCAGCGGGGGAGAAGCUUGCUUUUCCUGCCGGCGAGUGGCGAACGGGUGAGUAAUACAUCGGAACGUGCCCUGGAGUGGGGGAUAACUAGUCGAAAGAUUAGCUAAUACCGCAUACAACCUGAGGGUGAAAGUGGGGGACCGCAAGGCCUCAUGCUAUAGGGGGGGCCGAUGUCUGAUUAGCUAGUUGGUGGGGUAAAGGCCUACCAAGGCGACGAUCAGUAGAUGGUCUGAGAGGACGAUCAGCCACACUGGGACUGAGACACGGCCCAGACUCCUACGGGAGGCAGCAGUGGGGAAUUUUGGACAAUGGGCGAAAGCCUGAUCCAGCAAUGCCGCGUGUGUGAAGAAGGCCUUCGGGUUGUAAAGCACUUUUGUCCGGAAAGAAAUGGCUCUGGUUAAUACCUGGGGUCGAUGACGGUACCGGAAGAAUAAGGACCGGCUAACUACGUGCCAGCAGCCGCGGUAA